GACGAACGCUGGCGGCGUGCUUAACACAUGCAAGUCGAACGGUAAGGCCCUUCGGGGUACACGAGUGGCGAACGGGUGAGUAACACGUGGGUGAUCUGCCCUGCACUUCGGGAUAAGCCUGGGAAACUGGGUCUAAUACCGGAUAGGACCAUGGACUUCACGGUUUGUGGUGGAAAGCUUUUGCGGUGUGGGAUGGGCCCGCGGCCUAUCAGCUUGUUGGUGGGGUAAUGGCCUACCAAGGCGACGACGGGUAGCCGGCCUGAGAGGGUGUCCGGCCACACUGGGACUGAGAUACGGCCCAGACUCCUACGGGAGGCAGCAGUGGGGAAUAUUGCACAAUGGGCGCAAGCCUGAUGCAGCGACGCCGCGUGAGGGAUGACGGCCUUCGGGUUGUAACCUACUUCAAUAGGACGAAGCGCAAGUGAC
rnacentral:rRNA from 1 species